GCCCACGGUACCUUUUUAAAGGUAUCUGACAGUAUCUGAUUUGAAAACGCCGUAACAUUUUAAAUAACGCGCCAAAUCUAAUUACUGUUUUUUAUCCGGCUUCUGGAAAGUAUGUUUUUGUCUAUGGUUAAGCAAUAGUGCCAAUAGAAAAAUAAAAUAUAUGUAAUUUCCGGCGAAAAGUCUGGCCAUCUCGACUGACUAGAGGACGUGGUAACCCAAUGAGAGAUGAGCAAAUUUGGAGCAAAUAGAUGAAGCUUAAAUCAGUCAGAUAUAGAAAAGUAUGAACUAUUUGGAGAUGAGGAUUACAACAUAAACCAAAACCAAGAAAGCUCUUCCAGUUCUGAAGAAUCUGAAAAUAAUAGUUUUUUUAUUAAAAACCAACUCUUAUUUGCAAAAUUAAGUAUUUAAAAGUUCUAUAGAAAUAUAUCAAUUUACCUACUAUCA